CAAUUCCAUACAGAGGGGUGGUCUCCUCUCUCAGGUAUAAACUAAAGGUACCAAUUUGGAAGUAAUUGUAUACCGAGUACUUAACACCAUGAGAUGGGAUGAGACCACCAAAUCAAAAAUAGAAAAGAGAAGAGCCACAAGGGCUGGUUUCUAUGGCACACUCACUAAAAGCUCAGAAAUAUGAGGAGGAACGAGGAAAGUUCAAGGACACAAGGAAGAAUAAGCAAAAGUAACUAAGAGGGAGUGAGCAGAGAAGCAAGAGAAAAAGCAAGAAUAUCACAGCGACCAAACAAGAGACAAAAAGAAAGAGAAGGUGGUCAGUUGAGUCAGGUAGCAUGAGAAGAACAGAGGGAUUCCUGUCUUCCAAGAAUCUACUAAUCUUUGCCUAAACCAAGCCAUACCACUGCAGUCACUUCUCUCCCUGCUGUUUCGUUCUCCGACAUCUCUGUCCUCAAACAGUCCACAGUAGUGCAUCUCCUCAGACUGGCUCAGUGCAUUUGAAUUGGUGAUACAUUAACUGACCUCCAGUUUCACCUCAAGAAGUUUUUGGAGAAGAGUUCACAGAUACCUCAAGAUACACAUCCCAGGGCUGGGGAUUUAGCUCAAUGGUUCCACUGCCUGCCUCGCAAGCGGAAGGACCUGAGUUCGACCCCCAGUACCAAAAAACAAAACAAAACAAAGACACACAUCCCAGGAAACCUAACCCUUUGGGAUUCUCAAAGUGGGUUGAAUUAUGAACUCAUGAUUAUAACUUUUAAAUUAAAUUUGUGGUAUUACUGUAAAUAAUCCUUGAGCAAUGAUGAAGGCUACUCCUAAGACAAAUAUUCCACUAAUCAG
rnacentral:lncRNA from 1 species